rnacentral:tRNA from 1 species
CCCUGGGUGGUGUAAACGGUUAAUGCAUUCAGCUUCUAACUGAAAGGUUGAAGGUUCAAGUCCACCCAGGGA